rnacentral:rRNA from 1 species
GCAUAUCAAUAAGCGGAGGAAAAGAAACUAACAAGGAUUCCCUUAGUAACGGCGAGUGAAGAGGGAAGAGCUCAAAUUUUAAAUCUAUCAUGUUUGUACAUGAUCGAAUUGUAAUUUGAAGAAGCGUUUUCUCGUACUUUAUGCAAUCAGUAUAAGUUCUCUUGGAACAGGACAUCAUAGAGGGUGAUAAUCCCGUCUGUUACUGGUUGUGAGGUUCGUUAUGAUACGCUUUCAAAGAGUCGAGUUGUUUGGGAUUGCAGCUCCAAAUGGGUGGUAAACAUCACCUAAGGCUAAAUAUUUGCGAGAGACCGAUAGCGAACAAGUACCGUGAGGGAAAGAUGAAAAGAACUUUGAAAAGAGAGUUAAAAAGUAUGUGAAAUUGUUGAAAGGGAAACGAUUGAAGUCAGUCGUGCAGUCAUCAAUUCAGCGGUUAACAUUUUUAUGUUUCCGUGUAAUUUGGUGUCUGUUGGUUAGCAUCAAUUUUGAUUGUUAUAAAAAGGUUAAGGGGAUGUGGCUCCUUCGGGAGUGUUAUAACCCUUAGCGUAAUGUGACGAUUAGGAUUGAGGUUUGCAACGAAUACCUUUUAGGGCAGUUUCCCUGGCCUCUCGUGGAAUUAUAGAUAGUUAAGAGCAUGCUUCUUACUGUCUAUGAUUCUACNAAAAGGUUAGUGUAAAACUAAUUCGUUAAGGAUGUUGACGUA